rnacentral:rRNA from 1 species
UACGUAGGGUGCGAGCGUUGUCCGGAAUUAUUGGGCGUAAAGAGCUCGUAGGCGGUUUGUCACGUCUGCUGUGAAAACUCGGGGCUUAACUCCGGGCCUGCAGUGGGUACGGGCAGACUAGAGUGCGGUAGGGGAGACUGGAAUUCCUGGUGUAGCGGUGAAAUGCGCAGAUAUCAGGAGGAACACCGGUGGCGAAGGCGGGUCUCUGGGCCGAUACUGACGCUGAGGAGCGAAAGCGUGGGGAGCGAACAGG